ACACCUUGUGUUACCGGUGAGGAUGGGAUGCCCUGAAGCUCGGUCCUACAAUUAGCUCCUGAGAUGAAACGCUUUAGGGAGUUAGCUCCCUAGUCCCCUGUGAUUUCCUGAAAUCUCACCUAAAUGGAUUUACAUAAUGUCUGAAUCUACGAUACCAGGGAAUGCAUCCCCACCCGCCUCGACGUGAUGCGGGUGCUGGUGCGACCAUGAUUCGCACCGAAGUCUGUCAAGGGUGAGUCGGGUGCGGUCAGCCGCACCCUGUCAUUUUUUGACGCGCACCCGACUUGCCCCUUUCCCUUCCCUUUGCUAACGCCUUCUGAGUUCUGCCCUUCUCUAUCUCUCCCACCAUCAUCCCUUCCACCGCAGCAGCUUUCUCUCGAUUUGGCGUCGGCUGCGAUCGUCUCUGCCGGCGGCAUCAAUUAGUUCAGUGCAGGGCCUGCCACUGGAGCUUCCCCUCUGGCCCUCCCCAUUUGCCCCACGCCCGCUCGAGUGCAAUAGAAGUUCCUUCUGUGUUGCAUCCCUCUGCCUCCUUGCUGAACUCCACCCUCAGCUAAGGUUCGCAGGCCGAGUCGUGCAACCAUCUAUCAAAAGGAUGAAGAUGGCUAUUGACGAUUAAUUGUGAACUCACCAGAUGACUUUUAAGUUUUAUGUCAUUUCUGGCAGUGUUGAAUACACACAGGAAUUGUUCGACAAAAUGCCUGACAGGGCUGUUGUCACACCGACCACGAUAAUAACUGGUCUACAGUCGUAUGUUUGAAUUUAGAUGUUCAAGAAAACGUGGAAAGCAAGAAUGUUAAACUGGAUGGCCUUGUGAUGGUUAGUGUAAUUCGAUCAGUGUGAUCAAGUUGGGUUUG